rnacentral:rRNA from 1 species
CCUUAGAGUUUGAUCCUGGCUCAGAGCGAACGCUGGCGGCAGGCUUAACACAUGCAAGUCGAGCGGGCGUAGCAAUACGUCAGCGGCAGACGGGUGAGUAACGCGUGGGAACGUACCUUUUGGUUCGGAACAACACAGGGAAACUUGUGCUAAUACCGGAUAAGCCCUUACGGGGAAAGAUUUAUCGCCGAAAGAUCGGCCCGCGUCUGAUUAGCUAGUUGGUGAGGUAAUGGCUCACCAAGGCGACGAUCAGUAGCUGGUCUGAGAGGAUGAUCAGCCACAUUGGGACUGAGACACGGCCCAAACUCCUACGGGAGGCAGCAGUGGGGAAUAUUGGACAAUGGGGGCAACCCUGAUCCAGCCAUGCCGCGUGAGUGAUGAAGGCCCUAGGGUUGUAAAGCUCUUUUGUACGGGAAGAUAAUGACGGUACCGCAAGAAUAAGCCCCGGCUAACUUCGUGCCAGCAGCCGCGGUAAUACGAAGGGGGCUAGCGUUGCUCGGAAUCACUGGGCGUAAAGGGUGCGUAGGCGGGUCUUUAAGUCAGGGGUGAAAUCCUGGAGCUCAACUCCAGAACUGCCUUUGAUACUGAAGAUCUUGAGUUCGGGAGAGGUGAGUGGAACUGCGAGUGUAGAGGUGAAAUUCGUAGAUAUUCGCAAGAACACCAGUGGCGAAGGCGGCUCACUGGCCCGAUACUGACGCUGAGGCACGAAAGCGUGGGGAGCAAACAGGAUUAGAUACCCUGGUAGUCCACGCCGUAAACGAU